GUUUUUAGGUGCAUUUUAUGCAUAACAAGGAAGUAGGUGAAAAUCCUACGCAGCCUCCGCUACUGUAAAGGUGACGAAACUAAAAUACCACUGGUGAAAACUGGGAAGGAUUAGGAGUAGGAUGAACCUAAGUCAGGAGACUUACCUAAAGAUAU
rnacentral:ncRNA from 1 species